UCUCCACCCACAUACACUAGAAACCAGCAGACCCAGGCCCUGCAAGGUUAGCAACGGGAUUCUGAACAGUGAUGCCAGUCAAGAAGAGUAGAGCCAAAGCUGUGGCUCAGUACAAACUGAAGAGUGAAUACCCAUCACUAAGUUUGGAUGCCUAAUGGAAGGAGCUGUUGACAACCCUGGAUGCUACAGGCUUAGCAGAUUUGACUAAAUCACUGUGUCCGACUCAAAUCACUAGCGUGAAAUGCAGACUGGUGAUAACUGUUGACUCUUAAAAAAAAGCCUAGUUCAAAAGACCAAGGUGGUACGGCAACGAAUCCCGAAGAACACCAAACAUCCUGUACUCCCAGUAGAAAGGUUCAAAGGCUCU